rnacentral:rRNA from 1 species
AACGAACGCUGGCGGCAGGCCUAACACAUGCAAGUCGAGCGCCCCGCAAGGGAGGCGGCGGACGGGUGAGUAACACGUGGGAAUUUUCCUUCAAGGUACGGAACAACUCAGGGAAACUUGGGCUAAUACCGUAUGAUGCAGAGAUGCCAAGGAUUUAUCGCCUUGGGAUAAGCCCGCGUCAGAUUAGGUAGUUGGUGGGGUAAUGGCCUACCAAGCCUGUGAUCUGUAGCUGGUCUGAGAGGACGAUCAGCCACAUUGGGACGUGAGACACGGCCCAAACUCCUACGGGAGGCAGCAGUGGGGAAUCUUGCGCAAUGGACGAAAGUCUGACGCAGCCAUGCCGCGUGAAUGAUGAAGGUCUUAGGAUUGUAAAGUUCUUUAGCCUGUGACGAUGAUGACGGUAACAGGAGAAUAAGCCCCGGCUAACUUCGUG